rnacentral:guide_RNA from 1 species
AUUACAAAACAGACGUAAAGAUGUCGAUGAAUGAUGGUAUAAUU